rnacentral:rRNA from 1 species
GUAGGGAAUAUUGGUCAAUGGACGAAGGUCUGAACCAGCCAUUCCGCGUGCAGGAAGAAGAUUCUAUGGAUUGUAAACUGCUUUUAGCAGAGAAGAAACGCCUUCAUUGAUGAGGGUUUGACGGUAUCUGCGGAAUAAGCACCGGCUAACUCCGUGCCAGCAGCCGCGGUAAUACGGGGGGUGCAAGCGUUAUCCGGAAUCACUGGGUUUAAAGGGUGCGUAGGCGGGAAAUUAAGUCAGUGGUGAAAGUCUGUUGCUUAACGAUAGAAUUGCCGUUGAUACUGAUUUUCUUGAAUUGGGUUGAGGUUAGCGGAAUGUGACAUGUAGCGGUGAAAUGCAUAGAUAUGUCAUGGAACACCAAUUGCGAAGGCAGCUAGCUGGGCCUUGAUUGACGCUGAGGCACGAAAGCGUGGGUAGCGAACAGGAUUAGAAACCCGGGUAGUCC